rnacentral:rRNA from 1 species
CGCGGCCUAUCAGCUUGUUGGUGAGGUAACGGCUCACCAAGGCAUCGACGGGUAGCUGGUCUGAGAGGACGAUCAGCCACACUGGGACUGAGGCACGGCCCAGACUCCUACGGGAGGCAGCAGUUGGGAAUCUUGCGCAAUGGGCGAAAGCCUGACGCAGCAACGCCGCGUGGGGGAUGAAUGCCUUCGGGUUGUAAACCCCUUUCAGCAGGGACGAAAAUGACGGUACCUGCAGAAAAAGCACCGGCUAACUACGUGCCAGCAGCCGCGGUAAUACGUAGGGCGCAAGCGUUAUCCGGAAUUAUUGGGCGUAAAGAGCUCGUAGGCGGUCUGUCGCGUCUGCUGUGAAAACCCGAGGCUCAACCUCGGGCCUGCAGUGGGUACGGGCAGACUAGAGUGCGGUAGGGGAGAUUGGAAUUCCUGGUGUAGCGGUGGAAUGCGCAGAUAUCAGGAGGAACACCGAUGGCGAAGGCAGAUCUCUGGGCCGUAACUGACGCUGAGGAGCGAAAGCGUGGGGAGCGAACAGGAUUAGAUACCCUGGUAGUCCACGCCGUAAACGGUGGGUGCUAGCUGUGGGGUCUUCUAACGGAUUCCGUGCCGUAGCUAACGCAUUAAGUGCCCCGCCUGGGGAGUACGG